AGUUGUAUCCUGGCCUCANGUAUNAACGCUGGCGAGAUGCUUUACACAUGCAAGUCGUACGCGAGUCUUUGACUCGAGUGGCGGACGGGUGAGUAACACGUAAGAAUUUGCCUUUAGGAGGGGGACAACAACUGGAAACGGUUGCUAAUACCCCAUAUGCUUUCGAGUGAAAUGGAUUUUUUCCGCCUAGAGAGAAGCUUGCGGCUGAUUAGCUUGUUGGUGAGGUAAUGGCUUACCAAGGCGACGAUCAGUAUCUGGUUUGAGAGGACGAUCAGACACACUGGAACUGAGACACGGUCCAGACUCCUACGGGAGGCAGCAGUGGGGAAUUUUCCGCAAUGGGCGCAAGCCUGACGGAGCAAUCUCGCGUGAGGGAUGACUGCCUAUGGGUUGUAAACCUCUUUUUUCAGGGAGGAAUAAAUGACGUGUACCUGAAGAAUAAGCAUCGGCUAACUCCGUGCCAGCAGCCGCGGUAAUACGGAGGAUGCAAGUGUUAUCCGGAAUCACUGGGCGUAAAGCGUCUGUAGGUGGUUUAAUAAGUCAACUGUUAAAUCUUGAGGCUCAACUUCAAAAUCGCAGUCGAAACUAUUAGACUAGAGUAUAGUAGGGGUAAAGGGAAUUUCCAGUGGAGCGGUGAAAUGCGUAGAGAUUGGAAAGAACACCGAUGGCGAAGGCACUUUACUGGGCUAUUACUGACACUCAGAGACGAAAGCUAGGGGUAGCAAAUGGGAUUAGAUACCCCAGUAGUCCC
rnacentral:rRNA from 1 species